GCUUUUGGCACAAAAAUAAAGAGAAGAGAAAAGAAUGUGAAGCAGGAGCAGGCUGCCAGUGCCUGGAGUCUCUUGCCUUCCCAGAUGAGGAGGGGGAAGCUUGGUUUUCUCUGCAGAAUAUGGGGAAUUCUCCACAGAAGAUGGAAGGUCCAAACUGACAGUUGUUGUCAAAGGAACUCACGGUGUGCUUUUAAAUUACUGGGAAGGAAGAGCUCAGUGAAGAAGAGAUGGUCACAAAGAGGGACCUUGUGGUGAUGACAGCAGAGAAAUGUUACCUGAGCAUGAAACAGUGAUCCAAGGCUGAAUCCCAGCACCUCCACUGCUUCACAGUGGCCUUCCCUUCUCUGUGCCCUCCACGUGCCUGGAAUGCUGAUGGAUAACCAGGGAUUUACCUGGAAUACACAGACUGUGCUUGUCAAGCUUGGAUAUCAAACACUGCAGACAAUCAG